rnacentral:rRNA from 1 species
GAUGAACGCUGGCGGCGUGCCUAAUACAUGCAAGUCGAGCGAACAGACGAGGAGCUUGCUCCUCUGACGUUAGCGGCGGACGGGUGAGUAACACGUGGAUAACCUACCUAUAAGACUGGGAUAACUUCGGGAAACCGGAGCUAAUACCGGAUAACAUGUUGAACCGCAUGGUUCAACAGUGAAAGACGGUCUUGCUGUCACUUAUAGAUGGAUCCGCGCCGCAUUAGCUAGUUGGUAAGGUAACGGCUUACCAAGGCAACGAUGCGUAGCCGACCUGAGAGGGUGAUCGGCCACCCUGGAACUGAGACACGGUCCAGACUCCUACGGGAGGCAGCAGUAGGGAAUCUUCCGCAAUGGGCGAAAGCCUGACGGAGCAACGCCGCGUGAGUGAAGAAGGUCUUCGGAUCGUAAAACUCUGUUAUUAGGGAAGAACAAAUGUGUAAGUAACGAUGCACGUCUUGACGGUACCUAAUCAGAAAGCCACGGCUAACUACGU